rfam:Ovis aries breed Texel chromosome 1, whole genome shotgun sequence.
UCCCUGAUGGCUCCCACGGUAAAGCGUCUGCCUGCAAUGCGGGAGACCCGGGUUCGAUUCCUGGGUCGGGAA